UUCUCCCGUUUAAGUAGAGACGGGAGAAGG
rnacentral:tRNA from 1 species